rnacentral:rRNA from 1 species
UACAGGCUUAACACAUGCAAGUCGAGGGGAAACGACAUCGAAAGCUUGCUUUUGAUGGGCGUCGACCGGCGCACGGGUGAGUAACGCGUAUCCAACCUGCCCACCACUUGGGGAUAACCUUGCGAAAGUAAGACUAAUACCCAAUGACGUCUCUAGAAGACAUCUGAAAGAGAUUAAAGAUUUAUCGGUGAUGGAUGGGGAUGCGUCUGAUUAGCUUGUUGGCGGGGUAACGGCCCACCAAGGCGACGAUCAGUAGGGGUUCUGAGAGGAAGGUCCCCCACAUUGGAACUGAGACACGGUCCAAACUCCUACGGGAGGCAGCAGUGAGGAAUAUUGGUCAAUGGACGAGAGUCUGAACCAGCCAAGUAGCGUGCAGGAUGACGGCCCUAUGGGUUGUAAACUGCUUUUAUAAGGGAAUAAAGUGAGUCUCGUGAGACUUUUUGCAUGUACCUUAUGAAUAAGGACCGGCUAAUUCCGUGCCAGCAGCCGCGGUAAUACGGAAGGUCCGGGCGUUAUCCGGAUUUAUUGGGUUUAAAGGGAGCGUAGGCCGGAGAUUAAGCGUGUUGUGAAAUGUAGACGCUCAACGUCUGCACUGCAGCGCGAACUGGUUUCCUUGAGUACGCACAAAGUGGGCGGAAUUCGUGGUGUAGCGGUGAAAUGCUUAGAUAUCACGAAGAACUCCGAUUGCGAAGGCAGCUCACUGGAGCGCAACUGACGCUGAAGCUCGAAAGUGCGGGUAACGAACAGGAUUAGAUACCCUGGUAGUCCGCACGGUAAACGAUGGAUGCCCGCUGUUGGUCUGAAUAGGUCAGCGGCCAAGCGAAAGCAUUAAGCAUCCCACCUGGGGAGUACGCCGGCAACGGUGAAACUCAAAGGAAUUGACGGGGGCCCGCACAAGCGGAGGAACAUGUGGUUUAAUUCGAUGAUACGCGAGGAACCUUACCCGGGCUUGAAUUGCAGAGGAAGGAUUUGGAGACAAUGACGCCCUUCGGGGCCUCUGUGAAGGUGCUGCAUGGUUGUCGUCAGCUCGUGCCGUGAGGUGUCGGCUUAAGUGCCAUAACGAGCGCAACCCCUCUCCUUAGUUGCCAUCAGGUCAAGCUGGGCACUCUGGGGACACUGCCACCGUAAGGUGUGAGGAAGGUGGGGAUGA